rnacentral:lncRNA from 10 species
UGCAGCUUCUGCUGGUGGGAAGGCCGAUGGCAGAGCCCAGGGAAGUUAUGUAACGGGCCCAGCUAAUGAGUGGCAGAGGCCAGAGGGCUUGGCCUGCAGAACUGUCUAAGGCCAGAGGCCGUCCAUACACUCCGUCUCCUGAAGGGGAAGCGGGCUCUUCUCAGAUGCACAGGGACAAUGUGAAAAUCCUGUCCUCAGAUUGAGAGGCUGUUUCGUGGGCACCGAAUUCGGGGUCAGGAAAGCAGCCUGCAUCCACGAGUAUCCUCGGGUUACUAAGUGGGGCCAGUGGCUCCAGGUGUAACCCAUUUAAGUUUGCCAGACAGCCGGGAUGUUCUGGUGAAGGAUCUGAAGUGUAUGGCCACACCAGUCCCAGAAGAGCCUGGGAGAAGGGAAGAUGGUGAACACAGUGGAGUUCUGCUGCAAAGCCGAAGAUGGUUCUGGCACGUGGCAUGACCCACAUGACUCAACAUCAGGAGAUCUGACUUCAUAAAAGUGAACUAUCACAAUGCUGCUUUGCAAGCUGUGUGUGAGUGUAAAAGCGUUGAAACUUCCUCAAUAAAUGAAAAGAUAUCUUU